GGCGGUUUUUUAAGUCUGAAUGUGAAAGCCCCCGGCUCAACCGGGGAGGGUCAUUGGAAACUGGGAAACUUGAGUGCAGAAGAGGAGAGUGGAAUUCCACGUGUAGCGGUGAAAUGCGUAGAGAUGUGGAGGAACACCAGUGGCGAAGGCGACUCUCUGGUCUGUAACUGACGCUGAGGAGCGAAAGCGUGGGGAGCGAACAGGAUUAGAUACCCUGGUAGUCCACGCCGUAAACGAUGAGUGCUAAGUGUUAGGGGGUUUCCGCCCCUUAGUGCUGCAGCUAACGCAUUAAGCACUCCGCCUGGGGAGUACGGUCGCAAGACUGAAACUCAAAGGAAUUGACGGGGGCCCGCACAAGCGGUGGAGCAUGUGGUUUAAUUCGAAGCAACGCGAAGAACCUUACCAGGUCUUGACAUCCUCUGACAACCCUAGAGAUAGGGCUUUCCCUUCGGGGACAGAGUGACAGGUGGUGCAUGGUUGUCGUCAGCUCGUGUCGUGAGAUGUUGGGUUAAGUCCCGCAACGAGCGCAACCCUUGAUCUUAGUUGCCAGCAUUCAGUUGGGCACUCUAAGGUGACUGCCGGUGACAAACCGGAGGAAGGUGGGGAUGACGUCAAAUCAUCAUGCCCCUUAUGACCUGGGCUACACACGUGCUACAAUGGACAGAACAAAGGGCUGCAAGACCGCAAGGUUUAGCCAAUCCCAUAAAUCUGUUCUCAAUUCGGAUCGCAGUCUGCAACUCGACUGCGUGAAGCUGGAAU
rnacentral:rRNA from 1 species